ensembl:misc_RNA Metazoa_SRP Metazoan signal recognition particle RNA
GCUGGGCGUGGUGGCGGGCGCCUGUAAUCCCAGCUACUCAGGAGGCUGAGGCAGGAGAAUUGCUUGACCCUGGGAGGCGGAGGUUGCAGUGAGCCGAGAUCACGCCACUGCACUUCAGCCUGGGCAACAGAGCAAGACUCUGUCUCAA